rnacentral:rRNA from 1 species
UACGGGGGGGGCAAGCGUUGUUCGGAAUUACUGGGCGUAAAGGGUUCGUAGGUGGCCCGCUAAGUCACACGUGAAAUCCCUCAGCUUAACUUGGGAACUGCGUCUGAUACUGGGAGGCUUGAAUGCGGGAGAGGGAUGUGGAAUUCCAGGUGUAGCGGUGAAAUGCGUAGAUAUCAGGAGGAAUACCGGUGGUGUAGACGGCUCUCUGGACCGCCACUGACGCUGAGACACGAAAGCGUGGGUAGCAAACAGG